rnacentral:rRNA from 1 species
UUGAACGCUGGCGGCAUGCUUUACACAUGCAAGUCGAACGGCAGCGCGGGCUUCGGCCUGGCGGCGAGUGGCGAACGGGUGAGUAAUACAUCGGAACGUGCCCAGUAGUGGGGGAUAGCUCGGCGAAAGCCGGAUUAAUACCGCAUACGACCUGAGGGUGAAAGCGGGGGAUCUUCGGACCUCGCGCUAUUGGAGCGGCCGAUGGCAGAUUAGCUAGUUGGUGGGGUAAAGGCCUACCAAGGCGACGAUCUGUAGCUGGUCUGAGAGGACGACCAGCCACACUGGGACUGAGACACGGCCCAGACUCCUACGGGAGGCAGCAGUGGGGAAUUUUGGACAAUGGGCGAAAGCCUGAUCCAGCAAUGCCGCGUGUGUGAUGAAGGCCUUCGGGUUGUAAAGCACUUUUGGCGGGAACGAAAAGGACUGUGCCAAUACCACGGUUCGAUGACGGUACCUGCAGAAUAAGCACCGGCUAACUACGUG